UACGUAGGAGGCGAGCGUUGUCCGGAGUUACUGGGCGUAAAGGGUGCGUAGGCGGCUGCGCGCGUGGAGGGUGAAAUCUCUCGGCUUACCCGGGAGGGGGCUUUCCAGACGGCGUGGCUUGAGGGACGGAGAGGGGCGUGGAAUUCCGGGUGGAGCGGUGAAAUGCGUAGAGAUCCGGAGGAACACCGACGGCGUAGGCAGCGCCCUGGCCGUUUCCUGACGCUGAGGCACGAAAGCGUGGGGAGCAAACAGG
rnacentral:rRNA from 1 species